UUUUGCUGUUAACUGGGUCAGAACUCUCUGUUUUUUGGUCUAUUUUUUUAAGCUAUAAUAUUAGGGUGAACUCAAACCUAGCAAUCGGUUCAUCUCGUGAGUCAUAUGCAAGCAUAAUCUCUGAUUUGCUUGUUAUCAGUUCGGCUGAUUCUUGAGGAUUUCUUGUUAGUUUGUAUAGAAAUUUUUCAACAGAUUAUGCAUCACCAGCCUAGGAAUAGGCCAAGUGCUACUUUUCCUAUCUUCAAAUAAUGGCCCACCUGAAUGGAGCACACCUGAAUAGGGCAACCAUCGACUCUUUCCCCUCAGAGCCAACAUUAUACAUCUGUUACAAUAUAGGCAUCCCGGCUAAUUAGGAGCGGAGCCAGCUUGUCUAUCCAAAGAACUUCCUAUUCCCUUGCUUCAACAAAAUGAUACCGUGCAGAAACUGGAAUGCAGCCAGAGAGAACCCAAUGAAAGGCAUAGUGGAAUAGUAAUAGCCCAACACCCUCAGAAUUAUCUGGUCAUAAGGGCCCAGAGAGAUUGUGCCAUACUGAGUUGACACUGUGAACUCAUCUUCUUUAGGGUUGAGCCGUCUCAAAUCAAUGUAAGACAUUAGGGGAAACCAAUGAUGAACUCUCAGCUGAUAAAAUCGAUUAUACUCUAGAGGAUCCUGGAAGAUGGCUUUGGGGGUUGGACGCAGCUGGUCAGGACACGUGAUGCAGCCCACGGCCCAGUCUGGUAACAGACUCUCCAUGAUGAUAACAUGGCCUCACUCUCAUCUACUACGGCGUCUGCCGAACAUUGAUUGGUCGUAACGUCUCUCCAGCUGAGAAAACUCGUUAGAGGCCUAGAGGUGAAGUAUUUUUUUAUCUCUUGCUACCUCCCAUGAUAUAUCUGGUCACCUGUCAGGGCUUCAUCUUACCUUUGGUCUUCAAACCUGAACCAUCGGCUCUGAUACCAAUUGUAGGGAGGGACAACACACACAAAUCUUCACAUUGGUGCUGGCUAGAAUGGAUUCCAACAACAAGCAGACUGAUGAGCAACAACCAGUCAAAUCAGCACCAAGAUUUUCAUUUUGCCAAAGAAAGAAGUCUCGCAAUGGAAGCUUCGUGUCCAAUUUAAGAAAUCACUUUCAUGAGUUUAUGCAUGCUUCCGCAGACGAACACAAAACGUGCUUGAGAAAUACAAUUCAAAAGAUAUUAGAUGCAUCAAACUUUUUUGGGAAAAAUGGCCGCAGCACAAAUGAAGGAGACUCUGUAACCCUCCAGUCAUCUACAAAAAACUAGAAGGCUUUCUUGACUCAUCAUCAGUAGAGUGAUAAGAGUUUAUAAGACAUCCGUGGCCUUAUACAAUGCAUGCUUUUGCUUGAUACACGAAUAAUAUAUAUGUGAUGUGAUUCUCUAUGUUUCACUGCCAAGUCGUCUGGUCAUUUUUUAACUACUUAAACCCACAUACAAUAGAUAAAUUGUAGAAGCUUUCUUAUAUUAAUUUAUCUAAAAUAUGAUUUAAAUUUAGUUUAUUGAAAAAAAUAUAUUUUAUUUUCUAAUCAUAGCCAAUAUAGUUGUGUAGGAGCUUGCUUUAUUGUUGCAUGUGAUUGUAGAAUUUAUAACUCUGUACUGAGCAUAUUGAAGUCAACAUUAAAUUCUCUUGUUUAUUUGA